rnacentral:rRNA from 1 species
CGUAGGUGGCAAGCGAUACUCGGAAUCACUAGGCGUAAAGCGCAGGUAGGAGGUUGGAUAAGUCUCUUGUGAAAGCUCCCGGCUUAACUGGGAGAGGUCAAGGGAAACUAUUCGGCUAGAGUGUGGUAGAGGAAGAUGGAAUUCCCGGUGUAGCGGUGAAAUGCGUAGAUAUCGGGAGGAAUACCUAUGGCGAAAGCAGUCUUCUGGACCAUCACUGACUCUGAUCUGCGAAAGCUAGGGGAGCAAACAGGAUUAGAUACCCUGGUAGUCCUAGCCCUUAACGAUGCUCAUUAGGUGUGGGAGGUAUCGACCCCUUCCGCGCCGUAGCUAACGCAUUAAAUGAGCCGCCUGGGAGUACGGCCGCAAGGUUG